AGGCUUUGUAGUGGAAAUUAAGACGCUAGACUGCAAUUCUGGAGAUGUAAGAAAUUACCUAAGCUUU
rnacentral:tRNA from 1 species